ensembl:lncRNA
AUUCAUUCCUUGAUUUGGGGGAAUGCUAACUUGGCAUAUUGACACCUAGAAGGUUGGGAGUUACAUUUAUUUCCCCUGUUUCAUUGGGAGCUAGCCUGUGAGAUGACCUUUGGUGAUCCUUAGGAGACUGAGUCUCCACCAGCUGUUUAAACUAGGGUUACUUUGACCGCUGGAAUACGGCACGUCUCAUGCAGAAGACAUGGGCACUGGUGGCAGCUUUCCACAGCGUUGUCUUAGACUGUAUGUGCUGGGGAAGCCAGGCACUGUGGAAAGGUCCAGAAGAAUGAAAGUCUCUACCAGAAGACAGCACCAACUUGCCAGCCAUGUAUCCGAGGGUCUGAUCAGCCCACGGCAGUCACCCCUUGUUGCUUUGCUGUCUUCUGUCCAUCAUGGACUGUUUCUGCAAUGCCCCUUUGCAUUGCCACCCUGCCUUGCAGCCAGCCAGUUAUGAACUGAAACCUCUACAAACUGUUAGCUAAAUAAACCUUUCCUCCC